AUUGAACGCUGGCGGCAUGCCUUACACAUGCAAGUCGAACGGCAGCACGGGGCAACCUGGUGGCGAGUGGCGAACGGGUGAGUAAUGCAUCGGAACGUGCCAUUGAGUGGGGGAUAACGUAGCGAAAGUUGCGCUAAUACCGCAUAUUCUGUGAGCAGGAAAGCAGGGGACCGCAAGGCCUUGCGCUCUUUGAGCGGCCGAUGUCAGAUUAGCUAGUUGGUGAGGUAACGGCUUACCAAGGCGACGAUCUGUAGCGGGUCUGAGAGGAUGAUCCGCCACACUGGAACUGAGACACGGUCCAGACUCCUACGGGAGGCAGCAGUGGGGAAUUUUGGGACAAUGGGCGGCAAGCCUGAUCCAGCCAUGCCGCGUGAGUGAAGAAGG
rnacentral:rRNA from 1 species